rnacentral:tRNA from 1 species
AAUGAAGUGCCUGAUCUAAAAGGGUUAUUUUGAUAGAAUAAAUUAUGUAAAUUUUUACCUUCAUUA